AACGAACGCUGGCGGCACGUUUUAAGCAUGCAAGUCGAAUGGCAGCAGGGGCAACUCUGUGAGAAUGGCGAACGGGUGAGUAACACGUAGGUGAUCUGCCUUGAGGAUGGGGAUAGCCUGUGGAAACACAGGGUAAUACCGAAUAAGCUGACGGGACUUUGGUUUUGUUAGUAAAGGUGCUACGGCACCGCCUUGAGAGGAGCCUGCGGCUGAUUAGCUAGUUGGUGGGGUAAAGGCCUACUAAGGCGACGAUCAGUAGCCGGCCUGGGAGGGUGUACGGCCACACUGGGACUGAGACACGGCCCAGACUCCUACGGGAGGUAGCAGCUAAGAAUCUUCCGCAAUGGGCGAAAGCCUGACGGAGCGAUGCCGCGUGAUCGAUGAAGGUCGAGAGAUUGUAAAGAUCUUUUCUACAUGAGGAAUAAGUCUGGGAGGGAAUGCCUGGAUGAUGACGUUAGUGUAGGAAUAAGCCCCGGCUAAUUACGUGCCAGCAGCCGCGGUAA
rnacentral:rRNA from 1 species